rnacentral:rRNA from 1 species
GAUGAACGCUGGCGGUGUGCCUAAUACAUGCAAGUCGAACGAACAGACAAUGAGCUUGCUCUCUUGACGUUAGCGGCGGACGGGUGAGUAACAAGUACAUAACCUACUUCUAAGUCUUGGAUAACAACGGAAAAACGGUGAUACUACUGGCUCAUAUAUUCUACCGCAUAGUUCAAUAGUGAAUCACGGCUUUGCCGCCUCAAUUAGCUGAAUCCGGGCUGCAUUAGCUAGUUGGUAAGGUAACGGCUUUCCAAGGCAACGAAGCGUAGCUGAGCUGAGAGGGUGAUCGGCCACACUGGAACUGAGACACGGUCCAGACUCCUACGGGAGGCAGCAGUGGGGAAUCUUGCGCAAUGGGCGAAAGCUUGACGGAGCAAUACCGCGUGAGUGAUGAAGGUCUUCGGGUCGUAAAGCCCUUUUGUUGGGGAAGAAAAGAAGUAUGAGUAACUAUGCACGUCUUGACGGUACCUAAUCAGAAAGCAACGGCUAACUACGUG